UGCCCCUCUUGUUGAAAACUGUCUUGCUGGAUUCAACACCUCAAUAUUUGCAUAUGGGCAAACUGGGAGCGGGAAGUACUACACGAUAUGGGGACCGACCAAUACGUUGUUAGAAGAGAAUGCGUAUGGUAACGAACAAGGAUUGACGUCCCGUGUUUUCGCACGAUUAUUUUCUCGCAUAAAUGAGGUGUCUUUAUGUCAUAUUUCUUGUAUUAUCAGAUGUGAAUUUAUAACAUACGUGUGUCUCUGAAUUAGUUGUGGUUUGUUUAUAUCUUUUAGGAACAAAAUACACAUGCUGACAAACAACUACAUAUCAGUGCCGAUGUUCGUUUCUCCAGAUCUAUAACGAACAACUCACCGACUUGCUGAAUCCAUCUCAAAGAAAUCUUCAUCUACAAGAGGAUAAUAAAACUGGAGUGUACGUUGAGAAUUUAAACGAGCGCAGCCGCAACGAGUGUAGCCGCCGCGUAUUGUUGGACCGGGUUUGAUUUUUAUAAUUACAGACGGACAUAAAACUAUUGAAGGAAGGUGUGCUGGUCAUUUAGAUCGGAUGUUCAUUUGUAUGCUUCCUUUUCUGACAUGCUAGCAGCCGAGGGUCUUGCUAAAGUAUGCUUCUGUUUAUAGGACAGGUAGGCCUACAAGGCGUUCGACAAAGGGGUAGUGGUCUGAAGAUGUUAUUACAUAUCUUGCACCCAUGAAAUAUUAUUUAAAGUGUUCAGCAGUUCAAUGGUUGGAACCGGAAAAAAAUAGGCCUCAUAAGGCAGAGACAUAGAGAGGGUUUCUACAGAGAGAGAAGCUUCACAAGUGGAAGUGAUGGAUACAAUUACCAAUGGUGUGUAUCUGAAGCCUGUGGUGAUGUUCAACAACAUGGUGGAGUUAUGAUGACGAGGAAAGUAAUCUUGUUUUGCGGACUUUUUGGGAUCGUUUGAAGUCGUUUAUGGUAGAGGUUAGGGGACUGGUGUGAUUUUUAAAUGUGUUUGAGAUGGGAUUUUGAGUGAUGAAAGAUGGAGUGUGUUGUUUGAAGUUGGGGAACUGAAAGUAGUUUCGAGGUUUAAAAUGAGACCUUUGAUUGUUUGAAGUAUAUAUGUUUAAAAUUGUGAAACUAAAAAAUUAUUGGAUCUUUUCUAUAAAAACAAUUAAUCUUAAAAA